AAUGAACGCUGGCGGCGUGCCUAACACAUGCAAGUCGAGCGAGAAACUUCUGAUAGAUCCUUCGGGUGAAAGAAGAAGCGGACAGCGGCGGACGGGUGAGUAACGCGUGGGAAACCUGCCCUAUACAAGGGGAUAGCCUCGGGAAACCGGGAUUAAUACCCUAUAAAACUCUAGCACCGCAUGGUGCAUGAGUCAAAACUCCGGUGGUAUAGGAUGGUCCCGCGUCCCAUUAGCUAGUUGGUGAGGUAGAAGCUCACCAAGGCGACGAUGGGUAGCCGGCCUGAGAGGGUGAUCGGCCACACUGGAACUGAGACACGGUCCAGACUCCUACGGGAGGCAGCAGUGGGGAAUAUUGCACAAUGGGGGAAACCCUGAUGCAGCGACGCCGCGUGAGCGAUGAAGGCCUUCGGGUCGUAAAGCUCUGUCCUAAGGGAAGAUAGUGACGGUACCUUAGGAGGAAGCCCCGGCUAACUUCGUGCCAGCCGCCGCCGUAAAAC
rnacentral:rRNA from 1 species